rnacentral:rRNA from 1 species
CAAUAGCGUAUAUUUAAGUUGUUGCAGUUAAAAAGCUCGUAGUUGGAUUUCGGGUGGGACGCAGCGGUCUCGCAUUGCGUUUGUACUGCUGCAGCCCUCCUUCUUGCCGGGGGCGGCCUCUCGGACUUCACUGUCUGGGGGUCAGAAUCGGCGAUGUUACUUUGAGUAAAUUAGAGUGUUCAAAGCAAGCUUACGCUCUGAAUAUAAUAGCAUGGGAUAACACGACAGGACUCUGGCCUAUCGUGUUGGUCUAUAGGACCAGAGUAAUGAUUAAGAGGGACAGUCGGGGGCAUUCGUAUUCCGUUGUCAGAGGUGAAAUUCUUGGAUUUACGAAAGACGAACAUCUGCGAAAGCAUUUGCCAAGGAUGUUUUCAUUGA